GGUCGAGUGGCGCAAUGGUAGCGCGUUGCUUUCCGGUUCUAAUCGCCAGGAAGUUGGCAAAGGUUCUGGGUUCGAGUCC
rnacentral:tRNA from 1 species